AGGACUAUACUUUCUGGGAUGAUUCCUGUAGUUUGUUAUUAGAGAAGCUUCUCUGAUCGUGUGGAACACCGAAAAGGAGCCAGGGCUUCUACUCCUGAACAGGAAGCCAGUUCUCCAUGCUGCUUUUGCAACUGCUUUUACCACUGAUGACCAAUUGAUGAUCGUUUUCUUCCUUUGGGAGUGUGAGAGAAAGGGGAUGUAGUCUUCAGU